UCUGGACUCUCUGUGCAUGGGAGGAGAGAGGACUUGCUUCCCUCACCCUGCGAGCAAUCCCAGCUUCACCCUACGCCUGCGGACUGUCGUGGCUUAGAAGUGGAACCCGGGCCCUGCCUUACGAUGAAGUUUCCUCUGCCCUGACACGAGCUGUCCUCCAUCUGCAGGACUCAAUGUGUGCCCCCUGGAAACUGCCAGGCUCCCCUCCCCACUGCAGCUGAUGGGCGGCUCAGCUGGCUCUCGGUGCCCCUAAUGUGCGCUGGGCGCCAGGCCGAGCAGCAGGAAAGCCGCAAGACGCUGUGCAGGGGUGUGCUGCAAGGGGACCCUGAACAAUACAAGCUGCAAAUUCCCAGGUGCAUUUGGAACCAGAAUGACCCGCUCGCUGCAGCCACGAGCUCCCUCCACAGCCAGAGUACCUGAAAUGUGCUGACGGCCAUGGCCACACCUCAGUAGCAAGAACUAGAAAUCCCAGCACUUUCCCGAGGAAGGAGAAGCAUAACUGUGUUUGGGGAUCUGUGAAAGUUUGGGUUUUCUGGGGCCUUUUGUAUUUUGUUUUAGGAUCCUUUUUUAUUAGUAUUAUACAAACCACACAGAAAUGUCUGAAAUUUCCACUUCUAAGCUGGCUGUAAGUCACCUGACAGGCACAGUGCUAGGUGACAAUGGAAGACAUUGACACUUGAGAAGCCAUCCUGCUCAGAAACGGAAGGAAAGUUCACUGUGUUGAAGGCGCCUGCCACGGGCGAGCUGGCUCGUUGGUCUGUUGACUCACUGCUCUGGGAGAGGAGGCUGGAAUAAGCACGGGUCACAGCCUCGUAGGAUCAGGAGGACACAUGCUGCAGCCCGCUUCCUACAACCCAAGAAGAAGCUCUCACAUGAAGCCGUCAGAGCAGACAAAUCCAAACUAAGGAGACUUGCCUAAUAGCAUCGGUACACGGGGAGAGCUCGGGGAGAUGUGAGACAUCGCUGCCGCGGACUGCAUCGGAGGAGGCCAGUGCCCAGAGAGACGUUACCUAAUGGGAUAACAGAACACUUACAACAUCUUUAAACAUCUGCACGCCGAGAGGUCACAGUCAGGAUGCGUCAAAGACUGAAAGUGGUAGGAUGGCUCCCUGAGAAAGUGCUCUUCAGAUGGUGGCCUCAUAGCCUUCUCUCUCCCUCGCCUGCCUCCCAUCACAAGCCUUGUGACAAGCACCCUCUCUCCCAGCUCCUAAAGUUUCUUCCCGCUGCUCUCUGGCACUCUGAAAGGAUUGGGAGGGAGUUGUUACGUGUGUACUUUUGAACGUCGCAAUUCUGUAUUGUUAAAAUCUAGCACUUAAUAAAAUAACCAUGACUGCUUAUUUGCAACGAGUCUUGAUGUUCUGGAAGUUUCCUUCUUAUAAAUGGAAGCUGGUUCUUAUAAAUAUUUGGUUAAUUAGCCAUGCUAUCUGAAAUAAAUCAUUUGCUCUCAGUUUUUACGGUGGUUAACAGUUUGUGAAGUAAUUUUUACAUACAUUAGCCAGUGGCUAGAAAGAACUUUAUCAGUGCAUAUAAAAGUUUAUGGAAUUGAGAAUUGAGUUAUCCAAUCUGAUUUUCGCAAGGGCCUAUGAGGGGGUAGAUUUUUGUUGGCAGAAGGGGCUGCCUUUUUUUAAAAAAAGUACUUAUUAUUUGAGAGAGAGAGCAUGAAAGAAAGAGAGCAGGGGGGAAGGGGGAGAGGGAGAAGCAGACUCCACACAGAGCAGGGACUCGAUCCCAGGACCCUGAGAUCAUGACCUGAGCUGAAUUCAGACAUUUAACUGACUGAGUCACCCAGGCUCCCAGGGCUCCCUUUUUAAAAGGAAAAUCUCAUGUGCCCAUAGUGAACAAAUUUGGUCUCUACAAAAGAUUAUACAAUCUCUAGGGAUUCCCCCCCCCACCUUUUACAGAGCCCCACACUCUCUAGAUGUAACCACUGUCUACAGUUUUCUGUACAUCCAUCCAGAAAUUUUUCAUCUACACAAACACAUACUAAUACCUCUUUGCAAAGAAUAGAUGUGUAUCAUCAUCAUGAUGUUUUACCUUUUUGUUCAAAUCAAAUAACAUACCACAGUCACAUUUUCCAUACAAAAUGUGCCUACUCAUUUCAAGGGCAAUAUAAUAUUCUGUUAUAGGAUGUAUCAUAAUUUACCUAAACCAGCUUCUACUUUAUCACGGUAUGAAUCUUGCUGUAAGUGAACAACCUUGCUCACCCAUCUUUGCUCGCAUUGCCAGAGUCUAUCUGUAGGAUAAAUCCCCAGAAUUAGAAAUGGAAACUUCAAAAUAUAUGCACUUGUGAUGUUGAUAUUUAUUCAAAUAAUAUGAAAUCUGGACCAAUUUACACAAGUCUGGGCACCACCCCUGUGACUGUUCGAGAACCCUAUUUCUCCACAACCUUGUCAAUACUGCAGAUGACUGAC